GCUACACAUGCAGUCGAGCGGGGGAAGGUAGCUUGCUACCGGACCUAGCGGCGGACGGGUGAGUAAUGCUUAGGAAUCUGCCUAUUAGUGGGGGACAACAUCUCGAAAGGGAUGCUAAUACCGCAUACGUCCUACGGGAGAAAGCAGGGGAUCUUCGGACCUUGCGCUAAUAGAUGAGCCUAAGUCGGAUUAGCUAGUUGGUGGGGUAAAGGCCUACCAAGGCGACGAUCUGUAGCGGGUCUGAGAGGAUGAUCCGCCACACUGGGACUGAGACACGGCCCAGACUCCUACGGGAGGCAGCAGUGGGGAAUAUUGGACAAUGGGGGGAACCCUGAUCCAGCCAUGCCGCGUGUGUGAAGAAGGCCUUAUGGUUGUAAAGCACUUUAAGCGAGGAGGAGGCUACUUUAGUUAAUACCUAGAGAUAGUGGACGUUACUCGCAGAAUAAGCACCGGCUAACUCUGUGCCAGCAGCCGCGGUAAUACAGAGGGUGCGAGCGUUAAUCGGAUUUACUGGGCGUAAAGCGUGCGUAGGCGGCUUAUUAAGUCGGAUGUGAAAUCCCCGAGCUUAACUUGGGAAUUGCAUUCGAUACUGGUGAGCUAGAGUAUGGGAGAGGAUGGUAGAAUUCCAGGUGUAGCGGUGAAAUGCGUAGAGAUCUGGAGGAAUACCGAUGGCGAAGGCAGCCAUCUGGCCUAAUACUGACGCUGAGGUACGAAAGCAUGGGGAGCAAACAGGAUUAGAUACCCUGGUAGUCCAUGCCGUAAACGAUGUCUACUAGCCGUUGGGGCCUUUGAGGCUUUAGUGGCGCAGCUAACGCGAUAAGUAGACCGCCUGGGGAGUACGGUCGCAAGACUAAAACUCAAAUGAAUUGACGGGGGGCCCGCACAAGCGGUGGAGCAUGUGGUUUAAUUCGAUGCAACGCGAAGAACCUUACCUGGGCCUUGACAUACUAGAAACUUUCCAGAGAUGGAUUGGUGCCCUUCGGGAAUCUAGAUACAGGUGCUGCAUGGGCUGUCGUCAGCUCGUGUCGUGAGAUGUUGGGGUUAAGUCCCGGCACCGAG
rnacentral:rRNA from 1 species